rnacentral:rRNA from 1 species
CCUACGGGGGGCAGCAGUAAGGAAUCUUUCACAAUGGGCGAAAGCCUGAUGGAGCAACGCCGCGUGCAGGAUGAAGGCCUUCGGGUUGUAAACUGCUUUUAUAAGCGAGAAAUAUGAUGGUAACUUAUGAAUAAGGAUCGGCUCACUACGUGCCAGCAGCCGCGGUCAUACGUAGGAGCCGAGCAUUAUCCGGAGUGACUGGGUGUAAAGAGUUGCGUAGGUGGCAUAAUAAGUAGCUAGUGAAAUCUGGUGGCGCAACCAUUCAGACUAUUAGCUAAACUGUUAAGCUCGAGAGCGUUAGGGGUAACUGGAAGUUCUAGUGUAGGAGUGAAAUCCGUAGAUAUUAGAAGGAACACCAAUAGCGUAGGCAGGUUACUGGGACGGUUCUGACACUAAGGCACGAAAGCGUAGGGAGCAAACGGGAUUAGAUACCCGAGUAGUC